rnacentral:tRNA from 7 species
GCGCGCGUAGCUCAGCGGUAGAGCACUACCUUGACAUGGUAGGGGUCACAGGUUCGAUCCCUGUCGCGCGCACCA